GCCCACCCAAUUUUCCCGAAAACCAAUCCAUAAUUCAUCCGAGGUGUAGGGAAAGAGGGUCCGGUCUUCCUAUGUUGCCAACGUGCCACGCCUUGCGAUUACAGAAUAUAGACGACCAUGUACAAUUUAACAUUUUUGUGAAGUCCAAGUAUGGCAUGAGACUUCUCAUGGAUUUCAUCAUCCUCAUCAUCACAACUCACAAACAAGAAAACGUUUUGAAUGUAUAUAUUAUAAAGUUCUAUGUUUUUCUAAAUCUUAUUCAUAUGGUAUUAUUGUAAUAAAUAAGGUCACAUCCCAGUUCACCUAAGUAUAUAUCCAACAUCUAUUGAUCAGAAAGUAGGUGUAAACAAUAAUUGUGCUUCAAGUAUUCAACCAAUAAACACCAACAAUAAUACUUGAAUAGGGGCUUUAAUGUUUGUAUUUUCAAUAUUUAGUUUCUUG
rnacentral:lncRNA from 1 species